rnacentral:rRNA from 1 species
CCUACGGGAGGCAGCAGUGGGGAAUUUUGGGCAAUGGGCGAAAGCCUGACCCAGCGACGCCGCGUGGAGGAUGAAGGCCUUCGGGUUGUAAACUCCUGUCAGGUGGGAAGAAAUGCCCGUCGGUUAAUACCCGAUGGGAGUUGACGGUACCACCAAAGGAAGCCCCGGCUAACUCCGUGCCAGCAGCCGCGGUAAUACGGAGGGGGCAAGCGUUAUUCGGAUUUACUGGGCGUAAAGCGCACGUAGGCGGCAUAGCAAGUCGCAGGUGAAAGCCCUCGGCUCAACCGAGGAAUUGCCUGCGAAACUGCUUUGCUUGAGUCCGGGAGGGGGGAGCGGAAUUCCCAGUGUAGCGGUGAAAUGCGUAGAUACUGGGAGGAACACCGGUGGCGAAGGCGGCUCCCUGGACCGGUACUGACGCUGAGGUGCGAAAGCGUGGGUAGCAAACAGGAUUAGAUACCCUGGUAGUCCACGCCGUAAACGAUGGGCACUAGGUGCAGCGGGUGUCGACCCCUGCUGUGCCGAAGUUAACGCAUUAAGUGCCCCGCCUGGGGAGUACGGUCGCAAGGCUGAAACUCAAAUGAAUUGACGG